GAAAGUUGAUGUGCGCUAAUUAUAUUAUUUUGUGCGCAAAGACGGACUAUUAAUAUGAUGAAUAUCAAUUGGAUAUGAUAAUAAGCGUACGAAGUAUAUUAUAAGUGAUUUGGGGUCUAAGGAGAAGCCUAAGUCUAAGCCAAGUUGGAAAAUUUCAAGAUAGGCUAAAAUUCUAAAUGAGCAAGCACAAGAUCACACUUUGGACGAGCACAUCUACAUAUAUAUAAGGUGUUAUGUGAUUCACAACCUAUCAAAUUAAAGGUCUUUGAAUCUAGUUUCUAACGCUUCAAACCGUUCAUCAUUUGGACAUUUGUACAAAAAGUUAUGAUGGAUUUAUUGAAGGCAGGUAAUGCUGUGUACUGGGGCAGAGGCAAAUCGCAGUUACCCAAUGCGAUUUAUAAAUCGUAUUCGACACCUGCGACAUACCUGGACAGAUUACAAAACGCGAGUUUCAGCCAUUUUUAACACAUUUGGAGCUAUGGAACUCGGAUUGAAGCGAUUUUUGAGGCGAUUUUCACCAUAUGGAUUGAGGUAAGUGAUUCUAACUCGAUUUUGGUUAAAAUACAUGAAUCUAUUGUUGUUUUUAUCAUGAAAUUAGUGAAUUAAGUUGAAAAUGGUAGAAAUUCUCUAUACCUUAGAUUUAAGAUUUGGAGGUCGAUUUGUUGUUGAAAUUUAGUAAUUUUGGUAUGGUUGGACUCGUGGUUGAAUGGCCGUUCAUAUUUUGUAACUUUCGUCGGAUUCCGAGACGUGGGCCCCACGGGCGAUUUUUGAUCUAAUUUCGGAUUUUAUUGAAAAAUUUGGUAUUUUCACAUGGGAUUGAUUCCAAUAAUCUGUGUUGAUUGUAUUGAAUUAUUUUUGGCUAGAUUCAAACCAUUCAGAGGUGGAUAAUCGAGG
rnacentral:lncRNA from 1 species